UUACUUUGCGUUGGCUUUGUCUUUGUUUGUUCAUGUUGCGCCUGCGAAAUGAGACUUUAUGUUUCACUAGUCGGAGUUUCAUCAAUCAUUCAUCAGCUGUGUAUUUUGUAACAGACACCACAAAUGCAACAUGGUGGCAGAGAAAAUGAGAGGCAGAGAGAGACAGGGAAUUGUUUUCUUCCUUCACACAGACACCAUAUCAUUUGUACUGGAAUCUGAAAAUUGGACCUCUGAGCAUCUUUGACUCCUCUGGAGGUUGGAAAUGCUCUGUGCAGUGAUGGUAUCUGCAGAAUGUCCUGCAGGCUACAAGCAGCAGGAAUCCUAUAAAGAAGGUCAACAAAUAUCCCAGAGAACCAGAGGAAUGGAAAAAGUCUGCCCUCAGACACUUCUCCUUUUUCAACACUCUCCAAACAGAAGACACACCAAUGGUAUUUGUGGAAAAAGCUCUUGUGCAAUCAUCUUUCUCCAUCUGUGGUGUGUCUGGAAGAUGACCCCCCCCCCCCCCCCCCCCAUUCCUAGAAAAGGCUGGUUACCACCAUUACACAAGACGACACAAGACCAUUAUCAGUAAUGGCUGGAGAUCCCCCAAGAGGAGCUGGCAGGCAUUGUUGGAUAUGAGAAGGUCUGGGCAUCUCUUCUCCCCUAUGUGUCUAACAUGGCUACAAUGGAAUAUGUGGUUUCCUGAAUUAAUAGCUUGGCUGAAUAAACUGAUACACCAAUACA
rnacentral:lncRNA from 1 species